rnacentral:rRNA from 1 species
AGCGAACGCUGGCGGCAGGCCUAACACAUGCGAGUCGAACGAACCUUUCGGGGUUAGUGGCGGACGGGUGAGUAACACGUGGGAACGUGCCUUUAGGUUCGGAAUAACUCAGGGAAACUUGUGCUAAUACCGAAUGUGCCCUUCGGGGGAAAGAUUUAUCGCCUUUAGAGCGGCCCGCGUCUGAUUAGCUAGUUGGUUGAGGUAAUGGCUCACCAAGGCGACGAUCAGUAGCUGGUCUGAGAGGAUGAUCAGCCACAUUGGGACUGAGACACGGCCCAAACUCCUACGGGAGGCAGCAGUGGGGAAUCUUGCGCAAUGGGCGAAAGCCUGACGCAUCCAUGCCGCGUGAAUGAUGAAGGUCUUAGGAUUGUAAAAUUCUUUCACCGGGGACGAUAAUGACGGUACCCGGAGAAGAAGCCCCGGCUAACUUCGUG